rnacentral:rRNA from 1 species
GAACGCUGGCGGCGUGCCUAACACAUGCAAGUCGNACGGAGCAUGCAGUAAUGUAUGUUUAGUGGCGGACGGGUGAGUAACACGUGGGCAACCUGCCUCACACAGGGGGAUAACACUGGGGAACUAGUGCUAAUACCGCAUAACAUCAUAAUCUGGCAUCAGAUAAUGAUCAAAGGAGUAAUCCGGUGAGAGAUGGGCCCGCGUCCGAUUAGCUAGUUGGUGGGGUAAAAGCCUACCAAGGCGACGAUCGGUAGCCGAACUGAGAGGUUGAUCGGCCACAUUGGGACUGAGACACGGCCCAGACUCCUACGGGAGGCAGCAGUGGGGAAUAUUGCGCAAUGGGGGAGACCCUGACGCAGCAACGCCGCGUGAAGGAUGAAGGCUUUCGGGUUGUAAACUUCUUUGAUG